AACGAACGCUGGCGGCAUGCCUAACACAUGCAAGUCGAACGAGACCUUCGGGUCUAGUGGCGCACGGGUGCGUAACGCGUGGGAAUCUGCCCUUUGCUUCGGAAUAACAGUUAGAAAUGACUGCUAAUACCGGAUGAUGUCUUCGGACCAAAGAUUUAUCGGCAAAGGAUGAGCCCGCGUAGGAUUAGGUAGUUGGUGGGGGUAAAGGGCCUACCAAGCCGACGAUCCUUAGCUGGUCUGAGAGGAUGAUCAGCCACACUGGGACUGAGACACGG
rnacentral:rRNA from 1 species